rnacentral:rRNA from 1 species
AACGAACGCUGGCGGCAGGCUUAACACAUGCAAGUCGAGCGCCCCGCGAGGGGAGCGGCAGACGGGUGAGUAACGCGUGGGAAUCUACCGAGCCCUAGGGAAUAGCUCCGGGAAACUGGAAUUAAUACCUUAUACGCCCUUCGGGGGAAAGAUUUAUCGGGGUUUGAUGAGCCCGCGUUGGAUUAGCUAGUUGGUGGGGUAAAGGCCUACCAAGGCGACGAUUCAUAGCUGGUCUGAGAGGAUGAUCAGCCACAUUGGGACUGAGACACGGCCCAAACUCCUACGGGAGGCAGCAGUGGGGAAUAUUGGACAAUGGGCGCAAGCCUGAUCCAGCCAUGCCGCGUGAGUGAUGAAGGCCCUAGGGUUGUAAAGCUCUUUCACCGGUGAAGAUAAUGACGGUAACCGGAGAAGAAGCCCCGGCUAACUUCGUGCCAGCAGCCGCAGUAAGAC